GGGGUGGUGAAAGAUCUGGCGAGAGCAAGCCUCCCCAGCAUGCUCAUCAGCCUUAAGCGAUCAUGUCUGUGAUCAUGCUACUGAAAUAGGGAGGUCCUGGAAGACCAGCAAACUGAGAGAGGACGGAGAAGUCGGAGCCAUGGCUAUGUGUCUAGCAAAAGGCAGCAACAAUAUCUUAGAGUGGAAGAGCCCAGAAGAUGGUAAUAGGCUUUACUGGCCCUGACCUGUCUCCUCUGAGGCAUUCACCCCUGAAAUGAUCUCAUUUAAGCUCAGGUUUGUGAAUUUAGUCUUUUUCUGAUGUGAAUGUGUCAGUCCUGUUCGUCUCCUUGUUUA
rnacentral:lncRNA from 1 species